rnacentral:rRNA from 1 species
GAUGAACGCUGGCGGCGUGCCUAAUACAUGCAAGUCGAGCGAACAGACGAGGAGCUUGCUCCUCUGACGUUAGCGGCGGACGGGUGAGUAACACGUGGAUAACCUACCUAUAAGACUGGGAUAGCUUCGGGAAACCGGAGCUAAUACCGGAUAAUAUAUUGAACCGCAUGGUUCAAUAGUGAAAGACGGUUUUGCUGUCACUUAUAGAUGGAUCCGCGCCGCAUUAGCUAGUUGGUAAGGUAACGGCUUACCAAGGCAACGAUGCGUAGCCGACCUGAGAGGGUGAUCGGCCACACUGGAACUGAGACACGGUCCAGACUCCUACGGGAGGCAGCAGUAGGGAAUCUUCCGCAAUGGGCGAAAGCCCGACGGAGCAACGCCGCGUGAGUGAUGAAGGUCUUCGGAUCGUAAAACUCUGUUAUUAGGGAAGAACAAAUGUGUAAGUAACUAUGCACGUCUUGACGGUACCUAAUCAGAAAGCCACGGCUAACUGCGUG